rnacentral:rRNA from 1 species
CAAUAGCGUAUAUUAAAGUUGUUGCAGUUAAAAAGCUCGUAGUUGGAUUUGUGGCGUACGGUGUGUUCCGGGCACUUGUUGUCUGAGUAACCUGCUGUUGCCAUCCUUGGGUGGAAUCUGUGUGGCAUUAGGUUGUCGUGCAGGGGAUGCCCAUCAUUUACUGUGAAAAAAUUAGAGUGUUCAAAGCAGGCUUAUGCCGUUGAAUAUAUUAGCAUGGAAUAAUGAGAUAGGACUUUUUUGCUAUUUUGUUGGUUUGCGCAAGAAGGUAAUGAUUAAUAGGGACAGUUGGGGGUAUUCGUAUUCCAUUGUCAGAGGUGAAAUUCUUGGAUUUUUGGAAGACGAACUACUGCGAAAGCAUUUACCAAGGAUGUUUUCAUUAA